CCUACCAUUAUCUUUUACAUUAAUGGAUCUCAGUUCCCACUACCUCCUUCUGCUUAUGUCUCCAAUGACAAUGGCUACUGUGCACUUGCAAUCGAGCCAACAUAUGUGUCUUCCUCAAAUGGGCAGCCUCUGUGGAUCUUGGGCGAUGUCUUCCUUAAAGAGUAUUACUCUAUUUUUGACAUCGGAAAUAACAGGGUUGGUUUGGCACCAUCGGCCUAAAGUGAUGAUACCAAAUACUAAUUUCCUGUCUGGAUUAAUGAGCUGAUUGUUUGGACUCUAACAAAAUAUUUCUAAUUAAAUGUGUACAGCAAAAUUGUAUGUUCUUCAAUAUUUACAUACAACCUCAAACACUUUACAUACAGUUUGUUCACUUAGGAUCCAUUGCCACACAGAAAUAAAUUAUGUGAACUGUAGACAAAAAAUGGGGAACCCAAUUGGGGAACUAUAGCAAAUCCAAAAAAUCAGUGGUUGUUCUUGGAGUUAGCUCUUUGCAUCAAUAAAUUCUCACUCAAUGUCUUUUUUAAGCAUUUUCAAUUAGUGAAAGAAAUUUAACAUGUUGUUACACUUAUUCUACACUCUUCAAGUUUUAAGAAUUGCCAGGGACACAGUGCUAGUCUAGGCUUGGUUUUCUUUUGGAAAGAAUUUACUGGAGGCUUUUUAGAGUUUUUAAAAUUGAUUAAAAUGUACAAGUUAUAAUAUUUGAUGUUAAAGAAGUUAUUUCUAUACAAUGUGAUAGUAUGCAUAAUUAUGAGUCCAAUAAAUAUUAAAUAAUAAA